CUACUAUACUAAUGGAUAAUAUACCUGUUUCAAUUAUAUAUACUAUCAACAACAAGAACCUACUGGUAAUAAAGGAGUCACAGAUUGUUCUGCUACUAAGAAAAUUUUUGAAUUCUUUAAUGCAUCAUUAACUUCAUAUACAUUGAAAAGAGGAGACAGCAUACAAUUGCAUGCAGAUCUACAGAUUAAGAGGACCAUACAAGGGGGUAUACUGCAUGUCACAAUGACACAAAAAUUCAAG
rnacentral:lncRNA from 1 species